GACGAACGCUGGCGGCGUUCCUAAUACAUGCAAGUAGAACGCAGUUGCGAACGGGUGAGUAACGCGUAGGUAACUGCCUGGUAGCGGGGGAUAACUAUUGGAAACGAUAGCUAAUACCGCAUACUACCAGAUGGACCUGCGUUGUAUUAGCUAGUUGGUGGGGUAACGACUAACCAAGGCAACUAUACAUAGCCGACCUGAGAGGGUGAUCGGCCAAACUGGGACGAAGAAGCGGCCCAGACGCAAACGGGAGGCAGCAGAUGGGAAUCUUAGGGAAUGGGCGGAAGUCUGACCGAGCAACGCCGCGGGAGUGAAGUAGGGUGUCGGAUCGUAAAGCUGUGUUGUAAGAGAAGCGGUAUCUUACCAGAAAGGGACGGCUAACUACGUGCGAGCAGCCGAGGGAAUUC
rnacentral:rRNA from 1 species